UGAUAGCAGAGGAGGAGGACCCUAGGCUCACCUCAUCCCAAGGGUACAACUUGAUAACACUCACAUCAGUAUCAGUAACUCAGCAAACGACCAAAAGACUGGCAGAACAAAAUCCACAACUAAAUAUAUAGAAGUCACAUCAAAGAAGGUAGGGAGUGUAAGGAAGCAGUGGAAAGGUAAAUAGAUCACAGGGCUCUCUGCUGGAGGAAGGGACUGGCAGGCACAGAGAAUGGAGAAAACCAGACUAUCACACCAAGGAGCUUGCAUUGGGAAGACAAAUUCCCAUAACAAUUGGCUUUGAAAACUAGAGGAGCUGAGUUUCAAGUUUCCUGAGUUCUUACAAACCGCAGGACUUAAAUCAGUAGGCUCAGUUUGGAGACAGUCUGGAGGACAAUAGGAAACUGAGUCCUUCCUCCUUUAAAGAGAUGACACAGCAAACAGCCUAUAAGCAAACAGCUUAGAAGUAGCAGUAUGAAAAAUGUCUCGGGCAUGCAGAAGAGUUAUUCAACAAUUUCAGAAUGUGUCCAGGAUAGACCGAGAUCCCUGGGAGACUCCUCCAGAAACAAAAGAGCUGGCCAGCCCAGCUCUGCUGUUCCCGCUGGACUCGAGGAGACUUGGCAGGUGAGGACCUGAACCUGACGUUGGAACCGGUAAGGCUGCAGCCCAAUCUAGUCAGGCCCACUCGCAAGAGUGGAGAGGGGACCUGAUCACUCCCCAGGACUUCAGACGUCUCACAGGAACACACACAAAAGCGUACUAGCAUCCAAGAGGAUCAAUGUUUUAUAAUUAGGUCAGAAAGACCCAAUUAGGAGAAUAAAUUUACAAUGUCAUUUUUUUUAUGAAUACAG